rnacentral:rRNA from 1 species
UACGAACUGUGCAAACGUUAUUCGGAAUCACUGGGCUUAAAGGGUGCGUAGGCGGCCAUUUAAGUAGGGUGUGAAAGCCCCCGGCUCAACCGGGGAAUUGCGUCCUAAACUGGGUGGCUCGAGUGAGAUAGAGGUGUGUGGAACUUCCGGUGGAGCGGUGAAAUGUGUUGAUAUCGGAAGGAACGCCGGUGGCGAAAGCGACACACUGGGUCUCAACUGACGCUGAGGCACGAAAGCCAGGGGAGCGAACGGG